GAGACAGGUGGUGCAUGGUUGUCGUCAGCUCGUGUCGUGAGAUGUUGGGUUAAGUCCCGCAACGAGCGCAACCCUUAUCGUUAGUUACUACGCAAGAGGACUCUAGCGAGACUGCCGUUGACAAAACGGAGGAAGGUGGGGAUGACGUCAAAUCAUCAUGCCCUUUAUGACCUGGGCUACACACGUACUACAAUGGCAAUUAACAAAGAGAAGCGAAACCGCGAGGUGGAGCAAACCUCAUAAAAAUUGUCUCAGUUCAGAUUGCAGGCUGCAACUCGCCUGCAUGAAGUCGGAAUUGCUAGUAAUCGCGGAUCAGCAUGCCGCGGUGAAUACGUUCCCGGGCCUUGUACACACCGCCCGUCACACCAUGAGAGCCGGGGGGACCCGAAGUCCGUAGCCUAACCGCAAGGAGGGCGCGGCCGAAGGUAAAACUGGUGAUUGGGGUGAAGUCGUAACAAGGUAGCCGUAUCGGAAGGUGCGGCUGGAUCACCUCCUUUCUAGGGAG
rnacentral:rRNA from 1 species